rnacentral:lncRNA from 1 species
GCUAAAUCAGGCUGCUCAUGGGACUGCUAUGGUAGCUCAGUUCAGAGCAUGCCACGUAUGCCUGGCUGUGCCACUGAGGAUGUUAGCUUUCAUUUGAGUUCACCAGGAUGUUUCAAUUUAUUCUGGAAGACAGGCUCGGCUUCUCCUGUGGGCCUCUGCUGCUUGACAGAGGGGUUGAUUCAGAGGAGAUCGGUGCGACUGUGCAACAUGCAUACUCAAGUAUGUAAAUAUGUGUUUACUGUUAUGGUUUCUGCACAGCGGUUUGAAAGGGGCUCUGCUCCCCCACACUGGAGGAAUGGCAGAUGAAAUUGAUGGACUACAUGGAAUUGGCGGAAAUGACUGGUAGAAUCCGUGACCAGGGAGAAGAGUCGGUGGAAGAAGAUUGGAAGAAAUUUAAAGACUAUUUACAGAAAUAUUGCAAAAUUAAUGAAUGUUAGAAUGAUGUUGGAUUGAAGUUAAGUGGUUUCUAGCUGUACAGGUACAAAAGAAUAUGGAAAAUUGGUUUUUAAUAUGUAAAAAUUUAAUGUUAUAAUAUAUCAAGAUUAAAGAUUAGGAUUAAAAAGGAGGGAAAGGAAUUGUUGGAUUAACAAAUUGAAUUGGAAUACAAAAAGAGGAGGUAUGAGGAGGUCCUGGAAACAAGUAAACGUAAAAGAAGUGAUGAAAAGAUGGAAUUGUUUUUAACUGUUUUUUCUUUUUUGUACUUUGUAUUUUUCCUUUUUAUUGUUAUUUUUCUUAUUAAUGUGAUUUUUCUUCUUUUGAAACUUUAAUAAAUAUUAUUUAAAAAAAAAGAAAAAAAGAAAGGGGCUCUGCUCCUGAUCCAUGACGGCAGGCCCAAAGGUGAGUUGGCCAGCUGCCGUGAACUAAAUUGGGGGGCUGAGACAAAAGACCAUGAAAUGACUCAGUUGCUGAAUGCCGAUGACAAAAAUAACCAGGAUCACUACCCAAUUUGGGGAAGGAAUUAAAGCAAAACAUGCUUGCAGACCUGCACUUUAUUUAGCUCAUAGAUAUAUCCUUAACAGUGGGUAGUUGGGCUGAAGAAUAAAAAGAUGGAUUAUCCUACAUGAAACCAUCGAACUGGGCUUCUUAUCUCAACUUUCUUUUGAUGUUCUGCUGAAGUUUGGUUUUUAUUACUCCUAUGCUACACACUGAGAAGUUGAGAUUGAUGGAAAGCCACUUGUCUGAGAACCUGCCCAGGUGUUUGAAUGGUCUAUGAAGGAGGAGGUAAAGAGGAGAAAUGGGUUUGGGGUGGUGGUUGUUGGGGUGUAUUGCUUCUUAUUCAGCCCAUGUUUCUAUCAUGAAUUUCUGGGUGAAACUGCCUGAAAAGCAGAAACCAAUCCGCUAAACAAAACACAAAUAUCCUUCGACUAUUCGCCCUCUUCUGAAUAUUGCAAAACAGUUCUCCAACCAAACAGUAUUAGGGGGAAAGUGGGCAUAAAGAUUUGCACUUGAGCAAAAUGACAUGGAAAAAUGAAUUAGAUUAGGGGGAAAUGCUUGCAAAUUGUGUAUAAAAAGGGAAAGAAUCAUAAAAAUGUACAUAUUGGGAGAAAUUUGCACUAUAUUCUGAUGAAUUUUCAUGAGGAUUUAAAAAAAGAAGAACUUUGACAUGCUGCAGAACUGAAUGGAGAACAAAAUUUAAAAAUGGAACAAAUGGAAAAUAGGAAGAAUCUGAAUUGGGUUCUCCCUUCCUAGAACAUAAUGAUUGAUAACUCAGCCUUUUGGCCACCAUGGUUUAGCUGAGCUUCCUGCAUUGCAGAGGUUGGACUAGAUGACCCUUGGGGUCCCUUCCAACUCUACAUGUCUAUGAUUCUAUGCUAUAUGGACAAACCACUGCCAGAAGACCAUUUCCUGCAGUUCCAACAACAGAGAACAAAUUAGGGAACAGAAAGUUCCCCUUGACUUACGUAUCACAGCGUAAAAAAACCAAAAAAAGAAUAUAAAUUCAUGGAUGAACAUUUUGUAUCCUUAAUUCAAUCUCCUAUACUUGGUUUUACUUUUCUUUUUUAACAUUUGCAUUGCUUUGAGACACUUUUGUGGGGAAAGCGACAAAUAAACAGAGUAAGUGAUAGUGAAGAGUUUUUCUGUGACUGCACAGGAAACUCCAGCAUUACAUUCCACUUCUCCCUCCCCUCAAAUUCAAUGCACAGAAACCAUCGCAGAGAUUCCUGUGGUGAGGGAUCCUGGCAAGCCCCCUCUGUGGAUGCUAAUGGUUUCCUAGCAAGUUCAGAAGUGGCUCAUCUUUCACACCUUCACUGCGGACAAAUUCUCAGCUCUUCCAGGAGAUACUCAUCUGACAUGAAAUAAUAUCCCACGUGAAGCUGUUUUCUAGCGAGAAACAGUCCUGAUUUCUCCCUGCCUCCCUUUAUUAUUGCUUCUUAUCUUUUUGCAUUUUUAUUCCUAUAACGCGGGAAGUGCAUUUAAGAAGGGCACCAGGCCCCUGGAAAGGAAAAAAAAACACACCAUGCAAACACAUAGGCCACAAAAUCAUCAAGAAGCAAAACUAUUGUAAGGAGACCAACAACUCAGACAGGUGAGAGAGCAAAAGAGAGAAAGGGCAUGAGGAAGAGGCAAAAGGCCAAAUAAGUUCAAUAAUUCUUCCAAAUAAAAUUGUACUGGACUGGAAUGAGGCGAUUCAUCAUGUGACUGUUCAUGCAAGUCAAAAAAAGGUCUCCCGUGUGACCACAAUUUUUUGUGUUGCAGCAGAGACCUUGUUGACUUUCCGUUUGCAGUUAGCUUCUCCAAGGAAACUACAGUGGUACCUCGGGUUACAGAUGCUUCAGGUUACAGACACUUCAGGUUACAGACUCCACUAACCCAGAAAUAGUAUCUCAGGUUAAGAACUUUGCUUCAGGAUGAGAACAGAAAUCGUGCGGCAGCAGUGGGAGGCCCCAUUAGCUAAAGUGGUACCUCAGGUUGAGAACAGUUUCAGGUUAAGAACGGACCUCCAGAACGAAUUAAGUUCUUAACCUGAGGUGUUGUUGUUUAGUCAUUUAGUCGUGUCCGACACUUCGUGACCCCAUGGACCAGAGCACGCCAGGCACUCCUGUCUUCCACUGCCUCCCGCAAUUUCAUCAAAUUCAUGUUGGUAGCUUCUAAAACACUGUCCAACCAUCUUGUCCUCUGUCAUCCCCUUCUCCUUGUACCCAACAUCAGAGCUUUUCCCAGAGAGUCUCCUCUUCUCAUGAGGUGGCCAAAGUAUAACACACACACAAUGCAUCUAAAUUGUUUUUUUUUUUUUACCAGUCUAGCUGAGUCCCAGGAGGAUUAUAAUUGAAGGUCUGAGCAACAAAUGAUGUUGCAGUAUGAGUCAAUCAAGACGUGUUCUCAAGGUCCAGAGGAGGCAACUGCAACAAGCUAGACUUACUGCAAUUAUCACCUGCCCUAAUGUCCCUCCUGCCUUCUGUGAGUCUGUCACAUUUCCUCCACCUGAAACAUGAAGGUAUGUGCUGUUUUUAAAAUGUUUUCAGUCACCCUUAAAGGUUUUUAGGUGCUCCUAAUUUUAGAUGCUCUUAAUAUUUUUUUUUAAAAGUUUUAAAUAUGUGUAUAAAAGGACCCCUGACCAUUAGGUCCAGUUGUGACUGACUCUGGGGUUACGGCGCUCAUCUCGCUUUAUUAGCCAAGGAAGCCAGUGUACAGCUUCCGGGUCAUGUGGCCAGCAUGACUAAGCCACUUCUGGCGAACCAGAGCAGCACACAGAAACGCUGUUUACCUUCCUGCAGGAGCCUACCUAUUUAUCUACUUGCACCUUGACGUGCUUUCGAACUGCUAGGUUGGCAGGAGCAGGGACUGAGCAACGGGAGCUCACCCCGUCUCGGGGAUUCGAACCGCCGAGCUUCUGAUCGGCAAGUCCUAGGCUCUGUGGUUUAACCCACAGCGCCACCCGUGUCCCAUCAAAUAUGUGUAUAUGUCUAAGUAAUUACCAGCCAGUUGCCAAUCUCCUCUUCUUGGGGAAGGUUCUUGAGCAGAUGGCUGUGGCACUCUUGGAGGAAAUUGUUUUGGUCACACUGUAGGAUGACCUCUGUUGGGAGAGAGAGAAAGGAAACGGCUCCUUGUUGAUUCUCCUUGUCCUCUCAGCAGCUUUUCAUACUAUGAGUCAUGGUAUCCUUCUGGAGUAUCUGCCAAAGUUGAGGAGAGGUGGCACCACUUUGUGGUGGUUCCAGUCCUACUAGGAUGGAUGUUUCCAGAGGGUGAUGCUUGGGGAUUGUUCUUCAGCCCUGUGGAGCCUUCAAUGUGGGGUUCCUCAGGGUCUAAUGUUACUGAACAUGCUGUUUAACUUAUUGUUAUGAUUAAUAGUAGUAGUAUACCACCCUCCAUCUGUAGAUCUCAGGGUGGUUCACAACAUAAAAUUAUAAUAUAAAAAACACAAAAUACGUAAUAAAAAUAAGAACGAAAACAAACCAGUAAUGUCCCCCUCCAACAACACAUUUAAAAGGGCAUCUGAUGUUACUCAGCCAACAGCCUGGUUGAAGAGGAACAUUUUUGCCUUGUGCCUAAAAGUGCAUAAUAUAGGCACCAGCCGAAUCUCCUUGGGGAGAGCAUUCCACAAAUAGGGAGUCACUGCAGAAAAGGCCCAUUCUCAUGUUGUGUCCCUCUGGACCUCUUGUGGAGGGGACACGUGAAAAAAGGGCCUCAGAGGAUGAUCUCAGGACCCGGAUAAGUUCCUAAGGAGACAGGUGGUCCUGAGAUAUUGGAGUCCUGAGUUGUCUACAUAAAACUCCUGAGUGGAGUCAUCUAGUGUUUUGGAGUUACAUUGUCAGCAAUAUGCUGAUGACACACAGUGUAGCACCCUGCUUGUGGUUAACGCUUAGCUGGAAUGAAAUAUUCAACGCAGCAAUAGAGAAAUUAAAAUAAUAAUUUAUUUGUCAGACAAAUAAAUGAGAGACACAGUGGUAUAUGGAUACCAAAGCUCUGCCUACUCCAGCCCUGAUGGCCAGCACUUAUAUUUCCUCAGCCCAGCCCCCUUGCUCCUCCUUUGGCUGCCUCUGUCCAAUCAGCCUGGUUGAAAUUCCUAUUGGCUGUUUGCUAGAACCAAUCAUAAAAGAUACACCCAUUUCCUAUUCCCUUUUAUGGGAGACAAAAAGCUAUAUUUCCUUGUAUCCAUAAAUGGCAGACAAGUAACCAUAUAUCUUACAUUUACCUCGACCAGGCACCUCAAUUACCAGAUAACCUUUGGCCCCUGUUGCCCUAUUCACUGCAAACCAGAUGGCUAAAGCAGAUGGUGCAUGGUUUCUAAUUUUUUUUUAUCUUAAAGAGAUCUUGAGUUCACCUUCUCACCCACCAUAAUAGGAAUCUAACAUAAGAAUCUAACAUUUCUUACUUUCUAAAUCCUUUGCAUAAUCACAUUUAAGCCAAUAUAUUUCAUACAUAACAUAGAUAGAUUUUUAGAAGGAAAGGCCUUUUCAAAUUAAAGGAAUUUAGUAAAAGCUAAGUUCCUAAGUUCUAUAAAGAAACCUUUUUCCCUAACCAGCGGCUGUUUCUUCCAUUUAACCUUUAACCUUAUGGCUCGAGUCUUCUGUUAAACAAUAAAUUUCACUAUUUACCAGUUCUUAAUUGUGUUUUUACAGCUUGAUUGUAUUCUGGUCAGUGUGACCUUUUACUCUCUGGCUCUAAUUUCCUUUUACAACCUUGAAAUACUUUUAUUUAUAGCAGUGGGGCCCCUUGAACAGCUGCCAGAGUAUUCAGCUGGUCUUUCCCUGGCAGAGAAAAAUAUAUUUACAAAUAUAAUUUUUUAAGCUCAAAGCAGAUUUUGAUCAGAUGCCUCAACAGCUCUACUUCUCCUUUACAUCUGCAGGUGAGGCAGUGGAAGUGCUGGACCAGUGUCUUGCCUUGGCAAUGGACUGCAUGAGAGCUAACAAAGUGGUGGGUGGGUGGGUGUGAGAGAGAGCGCGCAUAAGAGACACACUGGGGCUCUGGGGUUUUGAUUUUAAGAGCGGGGAACCCUGUUGCAAAGAAGGGACCUUCUUCUGCAUUCUACAUCAGCUGCCCGGGGAGGUGUUAUUUGGUGCUGAUUAAUACAUAUAUUUGUCAUUGCAAAUAAUGCACUGUACAAAUAUGAUCUUGGAGUUCUGCCAUUAUUUUCAGAACACUCAGCACAGGCAUAAAUGAUCCUUGAGCUGCACAGCCACAGGGGAACAAAAGGCUAACCUUGGCUAAAGAGCUCCAUCUCCUCCUCCAAAAAAAUGCUCCAUCACUAAUUGCAACAGUAGAAAACUGUGUUCCCAUCAUCUGUGUAACUUUCAAGGUUUAUCAGUCAGAAUGUGGCUAUAACUCUUUUCUUUAUCUAUCCUGUGUUUUCCACAUAUCACCCUGAGCAUAUUUCCCAUUGAAUCAUAGAGUUGGAGAGUUGGAAGGGACCAAAGAGUCGAACCCCCUGCAAAGCAGGAAUAAGAACUAAAGAAUCCCUGGCAGAUGGCCACCCAUCACCUGCUGAAAAACCUGAAAUGAAGGAGAGUCUACCACUUCCCAAGGCAGUCUGUUCUACCAUUGAACAUCUCUUACCAUCAGAAAGUUAUUCCUCGUUUAAUCGAAAUCUCAUUCCUUGUCAUUUGAAUCCAUUGGUUUGAGUCCUGCCCUGUGGAGCGGCAGAAAACAAGCUUGCUCCAUCUUCCAUGUGACAGCCCUUCAGAUGUUCAAAUAUGGCUAUUCUAUCACCUUUCAGUCUUCUCUUCUCCAGGCUAAACAUGCCAAGCUCCCUCAACCGUUCCUCAUAAAGCUUGGUUUCCAGAUCCUUCAUCAUCUUGGUCACCUUCCUCUGCACAAAUUCCAGCUUGUCGUCAUACCACUUCCAAGCUUCCAUUGUUUCAGGUUUUCAUUAGGAGGUUUCGGGAAGCUAUUCACUAUGGGUUGAUUACAAUAUUACUUCAAUACAAUAUUAGAAUCCCAGAAAAUGACAGGCUCCAUCCUGCUCCUUCUUGUGUGUCAGGCAAAUGGUCCAACCUUCUAUUUGGGAAAGGCACUGCCUGGAACCUUGAGGAGCCACAGACACUCAGUAUAGACAACACUGAGGCUGCAUUCACAUGGCAGUUUAUUCCUUUUCCCUGAGGUUUCCCUAACUGUUAGCUCAAAUAUAGUGUAGAAAUGUUAAUAUGACAUAAAAGUCCCCUUCAGAAAUCUAACAAAACAUAGUCCAAGGAUGGCACUCAUUUCCAUGUUAAUUGCUUCCAGAAAAAAAGAUGUGUUUGCAACCCCAUUAACCCAGCAAAUCAUGGGAGUAAAGUGAUAAAAAAAAAAAUUAGACAGAAUACAAGGAUGCAGUUCUUCUAUCUGCCAUUUUCAUGGGUGAAACAUGAGGGACGAGAAGCACAGGUGCGCGGAAAGGAUGGGGGAAUAUUGCCCAAUGACGUCCUUUGUUGUGCCACACCACGCCCACUGGUGGGAAUGAAAUUUAAGGCAGCAUGCUGGUGUGUAUCACUGGAAAAGCCACAGAUCACUAACGCAACAGGAACUGCAGCACGAAGGGAACAUUAGAUAACAGAACAGAGGCACUAGCGUUAAUCAGAAAAAAAUAACACAAUGCUUCCCACCUCUGAAUGCACCCUGAGUAAGUUGAGUAAGUUGAGCCAAUGUGUUGAUCCAGUACAAGGGAGAAUUCUGUAAAAUUCCCCUCUGAAAUCUUCCACAUUUAAUAGAUGGGUAGAAGAGAUUUCCCCCCAUUUCUGGGAAUAGACUCCUGUGAUGAAAAGUGUUGAAAAGUCUUAAACGAAUAUCUAAUUUGUGUGAGUAAUGUCCUGUGCUUAGCAAUACAAAGAAAAGCUUUAUAUAUUGAUGGGGUUUAGGGGACAAAAAACCAAUUCACUGAGUAUCUGUCUUUCACUUACUACUAUCAUUUAUUAGGAGAGAAUUUUGAGCACAAUGAAAACAGGGAGUAAUUUAGAGGGGAACGAAAAAGCACCUCCAAUAAGGAUAUUAAACGAAAGCCAUAGAUUUCAAUCUCUGAUUCUUUAAUAUCCUCUUUUGUCAGGCUUACAGAUACUUUUAAGAAAAAUAACAUUGUAUAGGACAUUUCAAAUUAGACCAGCUAUUCAGGAGCUCAGGAGCUGCAAAGAGAUAUGGCUCUAGGUGAACUUACCACCAGGAAUGCACCGAUGGGACUUGGGGAGAUCGUUGCUCCUUCUCCAAGGCUUCCUUAAAUUCACCUUGCUCAAGGAAGGACUGUAGCUCAGUGCUGUCCCUGGGAUGCAAGAGGACCCAGGUAUAAUCCCUCGCAUCUCCAGGUAGGGCUGGAAAUUUCUCCUACUGUAUCUGAGAGACUGUUUAUCUGUUGUGCUCUUGCAGUUUCAACAGGAGCUAGUACUGGGUUGACUGUGGGAACAUAGCUCAUGCCUUGCGUGCAGCUGCUCCCAGGUUCAAUCCCUGGCAUCUCCAACUAGGACUGGCCCUGGUCUGAAAUCCUGGAGAGCUGCUGCCGCUCACUGUAAGGUAGUACAGUGGUACCUUGGUUCUCAAAUUCAAUCCGUUCCGGAAGUCCAUUCCAAAACCAAGGCUCGCUUUCCCAUAGAAACUAAUGCAAAAUGGGUUAAUCCAUUCCAGACUUUUAAAAACAGCCCCUAUAACAGCAAUUUAACAUGAAUUUUGCUAUCUAACGAGACCACUGAUCCAUAAAAUGAAAGCAAUAAACAAUGUGCUGCAGUCACACGACCAAUCCAUCAGUAGCUGAACACAGUCACAAAAACAAAACAAAAAAGUUGCAAAAACAAAACUGCAAAAUAGAUGGCAAAAACAGACAGACCUCAGCGUAACACUCAAAAUGGAAGUGUGGUACUCAAAUCAGAAGCGUAACACUCAAAACGAAGCAUGUUCAGCUUCUGGAAAAAGUUCGCAACACCUGGAACACUUACUUCCGGGUUUGCAGCUCUAUAGUAAGUCUCACCUAGACCACUUCCCAUUCCUACACUUCUAUGAUCAUUAGCCUUAAAAGAAUGUGGGUCAAAGCAUCAUUGCAUCCCUUCUAGCACCGUAGCCUUUCUUUCCCCCAAAGCCAUGAGAGCUAGGAGCAUGAUCAUUUUAAAUCUGAGACAUAAGCAAGUAUUUGGUGUGGCAAAGUUUGUAGUGCAUAUAUACUUGCAACAUGGUCUUUGAGCUAUAGCUCCUACCCAAACAAUAACUUAUUGCAAGGAUAUUUGCUCCACAAAUAUUUGCUGCACCAAAUACUCUGCAAAGGUCCCUAAUUCAAUCCCUGCCAUAUCCUGGUAAGCCUGGGAAACUCUCCUGCCUGAAACACUGGGGAGCUGUUUUCACUAAGUGUGGCCAGUAUUAGACCAAUGAUCUAGUUUGGUGUCAUCAGCUUCCUCCCUGCCUACGGCAGCCGAGUGCUCCUGUCUAGCUUGGAGGCUUCCCAUAGGCAUCUGGUUGGCUGAAUUUUUGAGCCAUUGGCCUGUUCCAUCAAGCUCAUCUUAUGUUCUUACCAAGUGUGGAUGGGGCCACUGAUGCAAUUCUUCCUGUGAACUAAAGAAACUACUACCUGGUAGCUCCAGUCUAUGGGGUGUUGCCCUUCUUGCAGUAGUCUUGCUGGCUAGUUAUAGUAGCAACAAUGGCUGGUGCCUAUUGGGACCGGUAGGGCAGAAGGCAGGGAGACCAAGGGGCAGAUGGAGGGAGUGCCAACAGCAGGCAGUGCCAACAUAUUCUGGUUUUGUCCCCAUCCGUAUCCUUGCUGACAUCUACAAGGCAAUUGCACUGUAAUCUACAUAUUAAUCCAACAAGUGAAGAUCGGUUUGCUUAAAAAUGAGAAACAAAUUAAUUCCAUUAACAGCUGUAGUCUGUUCCCUGAGCUCCAUAGAAACCACUUCUUUGAGUGCCGCCCUUGCCAGAAUUAAAGUGGGUGGCAAUUAGAGAGAGGUUUCGGAUUCCAGCAUCAUUAGACGUCAAGAAUUCAUGCUUCUGAGCAGGGUAAUGUGAAUACCAUAGCCAUCUCUACUGGGGAAGUUUCAGCUCUUCAGCCAGUGGUGAGUGGUAGCUAUUGAGGCUGGUGGGGUAGAAAGCAGGGAGGGCAACAGCAGGUGGCGCCAGAGGCAAUGACAGGUAGAACCAACUCAUUCUAGUUUCUUCCUCCCUGCUGAAUUCCACUGAGACUUGAAGAGGAAGAGGAGACUCACAGGAAGUUUCACCCCUUGGACUGGUUGCAAAUAAGAAAGCUGGCAAGAUGGACGCUGGCUGGGGGCUGGUGGGCGCCGACUGAGGCUGGUGGGGCAGAACCCUACUUGACCUCAUGAACCAGCCUCCACUGUCUUCAGCUCCUCCUCUAUGUCAAACAUGGAAUCCCAAAAUUCUCUGUGCUGUUCGUCAGCAGUAAAAUAGGGGCGGGGAUAGAGAAUUCCAUUGAAAGUUAACUUGGUGGGGAGGUAGAAUUCUCCAACCGUUGGGGCAAAGUCAAGGGGGAAACGAAAUUCUCAGAUAAUCCCUUGCAACAUUAUCUUCUGAGAGCUUACCCUAAUUGCACCACCUCUGAAACAAUCACAAUGCACUUUUUUCCAUGCGAAAAUGUCUAUUUAGUCUAAUAAACCGCUCUGGCUAAAGGACAGCUAGCGACGCCACUGCCGACAUAGCACCAGAAUCAAUAAAUACACUGUAUUUGUGCUGCUAUGCAAAACACAUCUCCCCGUAAACAUAUUUUGCAAGGGAGGUGAACUGAUGGGGAAAGCCGCAAGAUGGAAAGCAGACUUCCAACUUGUGGUACUUGUACUUAUGAAGUCAACUUUUCAUUCUCAUUGUGCAAAAUUCUAUUUGGGCAGAAAGCCCUAAGGAGUUGUGACUGGUGGGUCUCAGUCAUUUUCAGCCUUCUCAAGUGGACACAGUGGAGGGUAGAAAGUUUUGAGAACCCCAUCUAUUAAGUGAUGCUGUUGUUUAGUUGAUGUUCAACUUAUCUCCAUCCCUUUCCUGCUUUUGGGAUUACAAGGGAGAGGAAAUAUCUAUGUCCAGGAAAAAGUUGACAAUCAAAGUUUACUUCCCUGCCAUUAGUAAGGCAGUGUAUUCUAUUCAAACACAGCACAUCACCCACCUGUGAUACAGUGAAGCAGACAGAAAGACGUGUUCAUUAUUCUUCCUUUGCAAGUUGGGUAUUAUACAAAACAAUCCCCUCGAUGGAGAUAAAGCAGAUUCGAGUGUUGAUCUUACUAACCUUCCAAGUCAGUUGAGCGGCCUAACCUAUUAUCAUCUCAGCAUGAAUUCAGCGGCAAAGACAUCACUUGGCAUCAAGCAGAAACAAGAUGUGAACCCGACCAGGAAUUCCAUAUGAGGAGCCUUGCUUUCAUUUUCUUGCAUUAAGGCACAAGGCAGCUGCACUUCUGCAAGGAAAAUGGGAAGAAGGGGCUUAUUGGGGGUUGCCUUUCAGAUAUUUUCCACAUUGUUUGGGUUUGCUCAUGCAUAUUAUGUAUUAAUAGUUGUCGCACACAACACGGGGAGCAAAUUACUGUUACUGAGGAGGAGCUGCCAUCUGUACCCAGAUUAUGCUGGAGAGAAGGAUGGUCUUAUGGGAAGGAUACUCAGUGGGCCAGAUUGCUCAUUGGAGCUUAAGAUUUCAAACGUGCAAAGAGCAGGGAGGGCAGUAGCAAGUGGCCAGUCUGUUUGAUGUGCAGAUAUGUACCACGACCCUUGAUUCUAGCUUAGAAAAAGCAUUAAGGGGCGUUCAAGAUAACCCAUCCCACUGAAAGAAUGCAAACUGUCAAAACUAUGCAUAGCAUGGAGGUAGCAGAUAGAGAGAGGCUUUUCUCCCUCUUUCAUAACUCAGAGACAUCCAAUGAAGGAUUCAGGACAGACCCCCCAAAAAAGCACAUCUUCAGUUUAUAGUUAAACUGUGGAACUUACUUUUUUGCAUUACAAGCAGAUUGGUAGUGGGCCCUGCGUGUACAUAGUUUUUAUUAUUAAUUAUGAUGAUGAUGAUGAUGAUGAUGAUGAUGAUGAUGUUGUUGUUGUGCAUUUUGUGUUUUUAUAUUGUAAACCAUCAUGUGAUCUUUGAUUGAAGAAUGGUAUCUAAAUUUAAUAAACAAGAAGAAGUAGUGCUGGGCAGGGAGGAAAUGGCUGCUACUGCAGUCACUACCUGCUAGGUGAGUUGGAAGAACCUAUGUAAGACCCCCGUUGUCAAAAGUGGGGACCUUUUUCAUUGCUUGCAAACAGGACUGUGAAAUUGGCAUGGGUAUUCCUACAUUUGCUCAGCCAUAUUGAAAAGGAACAACUUCUUGCCUUAGCUCUUUGAAAUCUGCUGCUGAAUGGUUGAUAUCCCCGCCUCCCCUUGCUCAUGUGUGUGCAGAUAUCAGUGGCAUAGCGUGGGUUGCCAGUGCCCGGGGCCUCACAGGUUGAGUAGGAGGGAGACAGGCAGAGUACUCAUAUGCAUUGAACUGCCUAACAGUGUCCACAUCACCCAGGAUAUCACAUCCACAAAGAUAAGAAAAGAAGAGUUUCGUUGUCUGGAGAGGUCACUUCCUGGUUCACACAGAGAAGCUGUUUUCAAUGGAACCCAGUGAUGGAAGUGCACAGCUGUACUGAGGAAGCACCAGGUGCUGAAAUGUUGUGCUCCUAACAAUUUUGUACCUAGCGCAACCACCCCUGUGCCCCCCACCAUGCUAUGCCACUGGUAGAUAUAGGUAAAAUCUCCAGUGGAACAAGAAAUUCUAAGGUUCUAUUUCACCCUCUCUUAUAACAUUGAAGUAGAGGCUUAAAUCCAUUAAAAAAUUCCCAACUGAAAGGGCACUAAAGUGUGUGUGUGUGUGUGUGUGUGUGUGUGUGUGUGUGUAUUCUGACCUGUUAAUAAAAGACUAAAAGGUGCACAUUAAUAUAAAUAUUUAUAUUCUGCUGUGCCAUAUUAGCACUUACGGAUAAUCUAUCUCCCCUGCUAAUGGUUCUGAGUAAAAUGUGCAGUCAGUGCGGCUGACAUUUUGAGGAGUUAUUGCUGUAUUGCUUCAUCUUAGUCAUCCCCACAGCCCCUUUCUUAGUGAUUGAUAUGAGAGAGAGCGUACUGACUAAAAUAUCUAUAUUUCUUUCCCCAUAUGUGCUUCUAUAGCCUGGUGAAAGCUUUGGCUUAGCUACGAACUUUGCAGCCCAUUAAAAUCAGCAGGAGAAGACCUGGCAGGCAGGAGACAAUGACAUUCCAACUCACAAUGGAGCUGAGGUGAAAUUCAGGAGCCACGAAACUGUUAGAGCUCAGGGGGCAUUAUUGUGUGGGGAGGUGUUGUGCUGCUAUGUGUGCACUCUGUCUGGGGCUGUGUGGGAAGGAAACGGUCAACUGCCAGGAGGGAUGUUGCAGAAUUCUGACAAAAACAGAAAUGGGAGCAAGGAUGGCUAGUGUUUGCUUACAUUUGGAAUGGAAAGCAAUCUGGGAAACACAUCCACAAAGAUAUGCAGCUGGUUAUACAAUGAACGCUUGGGUUGCAAACGUGAUCCGUGUGGGAUGCACGUUCACAACCCGCAGCAGAAUGUCUGUGCUCGAGCGGGUUGCAAUUCAGUGCUUCUGCGCAUGCAUGACCCCCGAAACCCAGAAGUAACCCGUUCCGGUACUUCCAGGUUUCGGUGGGUCUGUAACCCAAAAAAACACAACCUGAAGCAUCUGUAACCCGAGAUAUGACUGUAUCCCCAUCCCAUUUGCACUGUGUUUCCUUUGUGCUGAAAUGAAUGGGGUGGAAUAAUGUAAUGACAACAUAAUUUAGGGAAUUUAGGGAAUGAAAAGUUAAGUGAUUUCUCCACAGCAGGCAGAAAACAACUUUGUUCUUGGUGGAAGAAGAAAUGCAGCAGAAAGGAGACAGUGCGGAAUGCAACAAAUACAGGGUGGGAUAGAAAAUAGUGCCUUCUUAUAUCCCUAGAUGCCAAUAAGGAUGGAAGGGUCAAUCUAUGUCUAGUCUGUGUCACUUUCAGAUAUGUUCAUUCAUAUGUCCACUCCCUUUCUUUCUGCACUAAAUCUACACUUGUAUACACACACACACACACAUAUAUACUGUAUAUAUACUGACUGUCUGUCUGUGUGUGUGUGUGUGUGUGUGUGUGUGUGUGUAUAUAUAUAUAACCAACCCAUAUUUACAAAAAGAAAAAAGAAAAUUGCUCAACGUUUUGUAUUUAAAUAUUAUUAAAAUGCUUAUCUUUAUGCAUUAUCUCACAAAAUUCACAUUGUUGUAUGUUAUCUUACACAAAAUGUGAACUUUGAACAGUUCAAUGCCAUCGCUAUCUACUCAAAACUACCAACUCAAAGGGCACUUACUCCCAGGGAAAUAUGCACCCUACAUAUGUGUGAUGCUUUAAUAUGUAUUUUGUGAAAAUUGAGUCAGAGAAGUGCAAAAUUCAAAGGAUAAUUACAUUCUGAGCAUUGCAUUACUCCAGGAAGUACAGAUCAAGUCAUCUCAUAUUGGAAUUACACACACACACACACACACACACACAAGCUUCCAGCUACCCCCACCAGCAGCAAUGAGACUAACCAUAAAAGGGGGAGAAUGGUUUCAUCCAGCAGCAUUGAGCCUCUGCAGAAACCUUUCAGAUAAUUUUUCUCCGUCCUCACAAAGAUUAUUGCUGUAAAUAAUAUUGCAAAUAAUAAAUAAAUAAAUAACAAAUAUAUUUCACCACCUGAAAAUGGGGCAGCAAUUAGCAGAGGGAAUGUUUGAUCGUGCCUACAUUUUGUGAAUGCCAGUAAGUCCUAUUUGUGAACUCCAUCUAAAAGAACAUCAGCAGGGACAGGAAGCAGGACAUUUCAACUGGUGGCUCUGGUGAAUCUCUCCCUGCUUGCCUUCUGGAGAUAAGCUAAUACAUUUGGGUUUAAGAAAGCUUUUAAGGAAGCCCUUUACAACCUAUGGAAAGGCCUCGGGAACAUAUAGAUAUUGCUGGACCAAAAUACAUGCCCUAAAAAUGUUCCUUGCUCUCUUUGCAAGAAAGUUGCUUUUUUCAUUUAGCAUGUGAGUCCCAGAGAAUCAACAUUUUCUUGUAAAACCGAACGGGGAGAGGGAGAUCUGAAGAAUUUAAAAUGUCACUUGGAGCAUCCGAAAUUGCCCUGUAGAAGAAUUUGUUCACAAGUCAACCUUUAUAAGCGCAUGAACAUGGAUUUCUCUUACUCCUGGGAAAUCAAGAGCGAUGCUAACUCUUCGCGAUGUGGUAAAGCAAGCAGUAGCCUGGAGAUAAAUACCACAAAUAGGAUGGAUGCAUUUUGCACAUAACAUAAACAAGCUGAGCUGGAAUAAGGAAAACAAAUUACAGGUCAUUCCAGGCAGCUUCAUAUUGAAGACAUCCUGUUUUGGGCAAGCAGGACUCAUUAACUCGGUGCAUUGAGCUGAGGCUCUAAAAGGGGCUGGCAGGUAGAUUAGCAUCUGAAACUGUAUGAAGUUUUGCUUGUUUGUUUGUUUAUCAUUGCAUUUCUAAGCCUUCAUUCCUCUAAGGAGUUCAAUUUAAUAUAUAUGGUUCUCCCCUGCUCUCCAUUUUACCCUCGCAACAUCCCUGUGAGGCAGGAUACGGUCCUGAGCACCCCUCAACUAAGGAAGGAUUAUAGCAGUUCCUAAGGUGCCCCAGAUACAUACACACACAAACACACACACACACACACACACACACACACAUUUCUAGAGUCUGGGCAGCUGCUCCCAGGUCUGUGACCCAUGGAGGAGUUGCGCGGUGAGUUCCCGCCUCCCCCUUGGAAAUAAAGACACAGGACACCAGCAUUUUAGGUUAAUGGGCAAGAAUUGGCCACAACUUUAUUGGUUACAGGAAUUGAGCGGUAUUGGCUUAGGCAUUGGUCCUAUCGACUAUCCGGCUUCAGCCUGAUUGCUUGAAGACCGGGAAGGGUUAACCGCCAGUAAGGGGAGUCCUGCACAUCAACUAGGAGCUCCCCCGGGGUCACCGCUUGGGGACGUGCCUUGGCCCCUCACCUCCAUAGGCUUCGGACAGGGCAACGCCUCCUGGAAUCCUUUACCGGACUACCCUUCAAUAUGGGGGAAGGUGAUGGCGCUUCCUCCCCCCCCAUCUACAUAACAAUACCCCUACCAAUGCCUGACCGCCAAUGCCAAGGAAGUUGUGACGAUUUGCUACGAGGUAGGCGAAAAACCAAAUGGCUGGAGCCAAUUUGCCAAGUGGAAAAAAAUCCUACCAGGUCCCUUGACAGCAACCAACCGAAGUCCAUAGCAAGGUCAGAGAGCCAAACCUAAAGGGUGGAAAGGGUGGGAAACCGGAGCAGCUGGAGCAAAGAAAGAGGAAAAGCCUCGGCCGCACCAGACCUAAAUAGCGCGGGCCACGCCUCCCGGGCCAGCCGAUUGGCUGGCAAGGGAGAUGAUCUGGCCGAGGAUUCCCCCAGUCUCGCGGGAGCUGCGAGUCAGCCCCUGCGCACGUGGGAGGGUGUGAAGCCCGCAACCCCACCUCCUCUCAAGCUCAGAAGUGGCUUUGUGGCAACAGUGGGACCACCACACCCCACUCCCAGGUUAUGUACCUUCAUUUGAUGGGGUGCAUGAAUGCAACCUGAGGUUUCUGCUACACUGAAACCAUAACUGCUCUUCCCUCUUCAAGCACCUCCUGGUUCUAGAAAACAGCAGGGCAAAGGAUGGAAGGGAUUCGACUGGCCUGAACAGCCUCUCUCUCCACUUCUGACAAAUCUUGCAUGCCCACCUCCAUCUCUGACUGCUCUGACCCUUCCUCUUCAUCCCACCCUGGCUCCCGCACUGUAAGCAGCACCAAACACCCCAUACGUCACAGCCCCUGCUCUCCUGGGUCAAUCCACUGCCCCCCCGCCCCCACCACACACUCGUCAGAGUCCUGCCAGUUAGACUGAGAGAUGGUGACUGGCCCAAGAACACCCACUGAGCUUCAUGGCUGAGCACAGAUUUGAACUUUGAUGCCAAGGUUAAGGGUAGCCAAUUUCUGUGUGACUGCAUAAAACUUAGGGAACAAGCUGUGCUAUCAUAAUGAUUAAGGUUUUAAAUGAUAAUUUUAGGUUAUAUGUUAAUGGCCAAGUUUUAAUUUAUAUAUUUUUUAACUGUUGCUAUAUCUGUAUUGUCCCUGUUAUAGGUAAAGGGACCCCUGACCAUUAGAUCCAGUUGCGGACGACUCUGGGGUUGCGCGCUCAUCCCGCUCUAUAGGCCAAGGGAGCCGGUGUUUGUCCGCAGACAGCUUCCAGGUCAUGUGGCCAGCAUGACUAAGCCGCUUCUGGCGAACCAGAACAGCGCACAGAAACACCGUUUACCUUCCUGCUGGAGCAGUACCUAUUUAUCUUCUUGCACUUUAACGUGCUUUCGGACUGCUAGGUUGGUAGGAGCUGGGACUGAGCAACGGGAGCUCACCCCAUCGCGGGGAUUCGAACCGCCAACCUUCUGAUAGGCAAGUCCUAGGCUCUUUGGUUUAACCCACAGCGCCACCUGUUAUACCUGUCAUACCUAAUUGCAAAUUCAAAUGUAUGACUUCCUUGAUAUUGUAUGUGGGCUGGGACUGGUCUGUGACCGAAAUAAUAAAAUUCAUUCACU